rnacentral:lncRNA from 1 species
CUCUGAGUGACCAGAGGGUUGCCAACUCCUGUCAUGCUUCGAUGAUUUCAUAUAUAAUCAACUAAUUUUUUCCCACCCCCUGGGUCUGUCUAUGCAUCUGUUUAUCGUUCUGCGUAAAAGUACUAAUACUGGCUUUUUAAUUCCCACUCCCUUACUUGAUCCUAGACAGUUGCUUAUCUGUUUAUCGUUCUAUCACUGGCUUUUUUAGACUAGAGACUCCGAUCCCCCUCUUUAGACUUGCCUUCUAAUUCUAUAUAAAAAAUCACAACUCAGAACAGGAAAAAUUACACUAAGUCUAAUUUACUUCGACUACUGAUCAGCUGAAAUGCAAACCUAAAAACAGACAC